GCAGCCUUUUCCCGCGCGUGCUGCCUUCGCCGCUUGGGCAGCCCGGGGGGAAAACAUGGCGUCUGCCCUGGAGCAGUUCGUGAACAGUGUCCGACAGCUCUCGGCUCAAGGGCAAAUGACACAGCUUUGUGAACUGAUCAACAAGAGUGGGGAACUCCUUGCGAAGAACUUAUCCCAUCUGGACACUGUGCUCGGGGCUCUGGAUGUACAAGAACACUCCUUGGGCGUCCUUGCUGUUUCGUUUGUGAAGUUUUCUAUGCCCAGUGUUCCUGACUUGGAAAUGCUAUUCUCACAGGUUCAGCUCUUCAUCAGUACUUGUAAUGGGGAGCACAUUCGAUAUGCAACAGACACUUUUGCUGGGCUUUGCUAUCAGCUAACAAAUGCACUUGUGGAAAGAAAACAGCCCCUGCGAGGAAUUGGCAUCCUUAAGCAAGCCAUAGACAAGAUGCAGAUGAAUACAAACCAGCUGACCUCAAUACAUGCUGAUCUCUGCCAGCUUUGUUUGCUAGCAAAAUGCUUUAAGCCUGCCCUUCCAUAUCUUGACGUGGAUAUGAUGGAUAUCUGUAAAGAGAAUGGAGCCUAUGAUGCAAAGCACUUUUUCUGUUACUAUUAUUAUGGAGGGAUGAUCUAUACUGGGCUGAAGAACUUUGAAAGAGCUCUCUACUUUUAUGAACAGGCUAUAACUACUCCUGCCAUGGCGGUCAGUCAUAUCAUGUUGGAAUCAUAUAAAAAGUAUAUUUUAGUGUCUUUGAUAUUACUUGGCAAAGUACAACAGCUACCAAAAUAUACAUCUCAAAUUGUGGGUAGAUUCAUUAAGCCUCUUAGCAAUGCAUACCACGAGUUAGCACAAGCGUAUUCAACCAACAACCCCUUAGAACUCCAAAACCUGGUGAAUAAGCACAGUGAAACCUUCACUCGCGAUAACAACAUGGGGCUGGUGAAGCAAUUCUUGUCAUCUCUUUAUAAGAAGAAUAUUCAGAGGCUAACAAAGGCAUCUAGUAUGAUUGAAGAAUUACAGCAGUAUGUCUGUCAAUUAAAACAGCAGUUACAAGAAUCACAAAUUCAAACAAAGGAACAACUAAGGGAUCAAGAAAAUAAGUUUCAAAUGGAGAAAAUUCAUUUAAAACACACCUAUGAAAAAAAGAUAAUUGACAUACCACGAGAAUAUGAAACAAAAUUGAAAGGAUUGAUGCCAGCAUCCCUAAGACAAGAACUUGAAGACACCAUUUCCUCCCUAAAAUCACAGGUUAAUUUUCUGCAAAAGAAAGUUUCCAUCCUUCAAGAAAAGUUACUACAUAUCAAGGCAGAAGGUACAGCCCAUAAGCAGGUAACUGCACGAGAGAAUGCAAUGGAUGCAAUUUCCAGGCUGCGCUGUGGACUUCUUCCAGCAGGUUUGAAGAUUUGGAUAUUGUAA